rnacentral:rRNA from 1 species
UACGGAGGGUGCAAGCGUUGCUCGGAAUCAUUGGGCGUAAAGCGUACGCAGGCUGUUCGUUAAGUCGGGUGUGAAAGCCCAGGGCUCAACCCUGGAAUGGCGCCCGAAACUGGCGAGCUUGAGUGCGGGAGAGGGAAGCGGAAUUCCUGGUGUAGAGGUGGAAUUCGUAGAUAUCAGGAGGAACACCGGUGGCGAAAGCGGUUUCCUGGCCCGACACUGACGCUCAUGUACGAAAGCGUGGGGAGCAAACAGG